rnacentral:rRNA from 1 species
GACGUAGGGCGCGAGCGUUGUCCGGAUUUAUUGGGCGUAAAGAGCUCGUAGGCGGCUCAGUAAGUCAGGUGUGAAACCUCCAGGCUCAACCUGGGGACGCCACCUGAUACUGCUGUGGCUAGAGUCCGGUAGGGGAGCGUGGAAUUCCUGGUGUAGCGGUGAAAUGCGCAGAUAUCAGGAGGAACACCAGCGGCGAAGGCGGCGCUCUGGGCCGGAACUGACGCUGAGGAGCGAAAGCGUGGGUAGCAAACAGG